rnacentral:ncRNA from 1 species
CCUAUUGAAUUUAAAUAUAUUAAUAAGUAGAGGAAAAGAAAUUAAUAAGGAUUAUUUUAAUAAUAAUAAGUAAAAUAAUAAUAGUUUAAAUUUGAAAUUUAAUUUCUAGGGUUUAAGUUAUAGUUUAUAGAGGAUAUUUUAAAUAUAAUACUUUCUAAGUUUUUUAAAAUAAGAUAUUAUAAAAAGUAAGAGUUCUAUAUAGUUAGAUAUUAAGUUUAUAUAAAGUUCUUUUAAUAAGUUAAGUAGUUUAGGAAUACUAUUUAAAAUAAAAAAUAUAUUUCUUCUAAAGUUAAAUACUAGCUAGAAACUAAUAAUAUAUAAGUAGAGUAAUUAAAAGAUAAAAAGUAUUUUAAAAAGAGGGUUAAAUAGUAUGUAAAAUUGUUAAAAGAGAAGUACUUAUAAUUAGAUUUAUAUUUAGUAGAUUAUUUGGUUUUUAUAGUUAGGGUAUUCUACUAGUUUAAGUUAGUAUUAGUUUAUUAUUAGGAAUAAAAGCUUUAGGGAUAUAGUUUUUUCUAAAAAGUAUUAUAGUUUAUUAUAUAAUACUUUUUAGUAGGUUGAGGUAUGUAUUCCGUAAAGAUACUAGUAUAAUAGUUAUUAGUAAUCCGUUUUGAAAUAUAGACUAAAGAGUUAACCUUAUAUAUAAGUAUUUAAAUAUUAAAUUUUUAUAUAUAAUAAAAGUGAAUAUAAGUGAGAGUUUUAGUAUAUUAUUAACUAAUCCUAAUAUUUUUAGAUAGAUUUAAGUAAGAAUAUAUAGGGUUAGAUCUAAAAGAAGGUAAACUAUAUAUAUAUAAGGUAAAACUAGAGGAAACUUUAAUAGAGGUUUAUAGUAGUUCUAAUAUAUAAAUUGAUUAUUAAAUAUAUAUAUAGAGGUAAAAGAUUAAUUAAACUUUUUAGUAGCUAGUUUUUGCUGAAGUUUCUUUUAAAAUAGUAGUAUUAAACUUAGUUUUAUAAAAUAGGAUAAAUAAUUAGAAAUUUAGAGGUAUUAUAUUGUUUUUAUUUAUUUUUAAAUUUUAAAUAUAUAAGAAGUUUUUAUUAUUUAGUUGAAUAUAGGUAUUUAAAUAUAUUAAUAUUAGUAGGCUAUUUUUAAUAAGUAGAACUAGUAAUAUAAAAUAAACUAAAUAUAAGGUUAAGAUAUUAGAGUAGAUACUUAUUAGAUAUUAUAAAAGGUAUUAGUAUAUUUUGAUAAUAGGAUAGUAGUUAUAGAAGUUAGAAUCUACUAAAGAUUAUAUAAUAACUUACUUACUAAAUAUACUAAUUUUGAAAAUAGAUAGUAUUUAAGUGUCUUAUUUAUAUUUCGCUUUUAGUAUAAAAAUAAUAUAUUAAGGAGUAGGUAGAUAUAGAGGUUAGUAAUAAAGCUUAAAGUAUAAGUUUAGAUAGAAUGGCUUCUAGUAUAGAUUUUAGUAGUAGUAGUAAAUAUUUUAAUAAGAAUUUGAAGGAUUAAAAUAAGGAAAAGUUUUAUAUAAAUAGUAAUUAGAUAUAAGUUAGUUAAUUUUAAAUUAUAGGGAAGUUUUAUUUUAAAAGGGUAUUUAUAUUCUAUAUAGUAAAAAGGAAGCUAGUUAAUAUUCUAAUAUUUAGAUAUAAGUUUUAUAUAGUAAUAUAACUAAAUAUAGAGAUAAUAGUAGGGGUUUUAAAUAGAAUUUUCUUUUUUUCUUAAUAAUUUAUUAUUUUAAAAUUAGUUUAUUUGGAGCUAGGGUUUAAUAGUUAGAAAAGCUUAAUAUAUCUAUUAGGUUUAGUAUAUUUUUGAUAUUUUUUGAAAAAAUAUAGGAAGGAAUAAUUCUUAUACUAAGUUAUAUUUAUAAUUAUAAUAGGUUUUUAAGGUGAAUAGUUUCUAGUU